rnacentral:rRNA from 1 species
GACGAACGCUGGCGGCGUGCUUAACACAUGCCAGUCGAACGGAAAGGCCCUGCUUUUGUGGGGUGCUCGAGUGGCGAACGGGUGAGUAACACGUGAGUAACCUGCCCUUGACUUUGGGAUAACUUCAGGAAACUGGGGCUAAUACCGGAUAGGAGCUCCUGCUGCAUGGUGGGGGUUGGAAAGUUUCGGCGGUUGGGGAUGGACUCGCGGCUUAUCAGCUUGUUGGUGGGGUAGUGGCUUACCAAGGCUUUGACGGGUAGCCGGCCUGAGAGGGUGACCGGCCACAUUGGGACUGAGAUACGGCCCAGGCUCCUACGGGAGGCAGCAGUGGGGAAUAUUGCACAAUGGGCGGAAGCCUGAUGCAGCAACGCCGCGUGCGGGAUGACGGCCUUCGGGUUGUAAACCGCUUUCGCCUGUGACGAAGCGUGAGUGACGGUAAUGGGUAAAGAAGCACCGGCUAACUACGU